UUAAGUGAAUAAGGGCGCACGGUGGAUGCCUAGGCACUAGGAGCCGAUGAAGGACGGGACUAACACCGAUAUGCUCCGGGGAGCUGUAAGUAAGCUUUGAUCCGGAGAUUUCCGAAUGGGGCAACCCAAUAUCUUUGAUAGGAUAUUACGUUACACUGAAUACAUAGGUGUAUCGAGGAACACGCAGGGAACUGAAACAUCUCAUUACCUGCAGGAAGAGAAAGAAAAUUCGAUUCCCUUAGUAGCGGCGAGCGAAACGGGAAAAGCCCAAACCAAAGAGCUUGCUCUUUGGGGUUGUAGGACUGGGACAUGAGACUGCAAUGGAUAGCAGAAGCCAACUGGAAAGUUGCGCAACAUAGGGUAAUAGCCCCGUAUGCGAAAUCCAAAUCAGCUCUACCAGUAUCCUGAGUACGGCGGAACACGAGAAAUUCCGUCGGAAUCCGGGAGGACCAUCUCCCAAGGCUAAAUACUCCCUAGUGACCGAUAGUGAACCAGUACCGUGAGGGAAAGGUGAAAAGCACCCCGGAAGGGGAGUGAAACAGUACCUGAAACCGUGUGCCUACAAGUAGUCAAAGCCCGUUAAUGGGUGAUGGCGUACCUUUUGUAGAAUGGACCGGCGAGUUACGAUUUCAUGCGAGGUUAAGUUGAAAAGACGGAGCCGCAGCGAAAGCGAGUCUGAAUAGGGCGAAUAAGUAUGAGGUCGUAGACCCGAAACCAAGUGACCUACCCAUGUCCAGGUUGAAGGUGCGGUAAUACGCACUGGAGGACCGAACCCACGCACGUUGAAAAGUGCGGGGAUGAGGUGUGGGUAGCGGAGAAAUUCCAAUCGAACUUGGAGAUAGCUGGUUCUCUCCGAAAUAGCUUUAGGGCUAGCCUCGGAUAUGCGAAUCAUGGAGGUAGAGCACUGUUUGGACUAGGGGCCCUUCUCGGGUUACCGAAUUCAGAUAAACUCCGAAUGCCAUUGAUUUAGAUCCGGGAGUCAGACUGCGAGUGAUAAGAUCCGUAGUCAAAAGGGAAACAGCCCAGACCACCAGCUAAGGUCCCAAAGUAUCUGUUAAGUGGAAAAGGAUGUGGGGUUGCACAGACAACUAGGAUGUUGGCUCAGAAGCAGCCAUCAUUUAAAGAGUGCGUAAUAGCUCACUAGUCGAGUGACCCUGCGCCGAAAAUUUACCGGGGCUAAACAGAUCACCGAAGCUGUGGAUGGAACCCAAUGGGUUCCGUGGUAGGAGAGCGUUCUAAGGGCAUCGAAGCCAGAUCGUGAGGACUGGUGGAGCGCUUAGAAGUGAGAAUGCCGGUAUGAGUAGCGCAAGACGGGUGAGAAUCCCGUCCACCGAAUAACUAAGGUUUCCUGGGGAAGGCUCGUCCUCCCAGGGUUAGUCGGGACCUAAGCUGAGGCCGAUAGGCGUAGGCGAUGGACAACAGGUUGAUAUUCCUGUACCAGUUGCUUUUGUUUGAGCGAUGGAGGGACGCAGGAGGCUAAGGAAUGCACACGAUCGGAAAUGUGUGUCCAAGCAGCAAGUCUGAGAACGAGUGAAAUGCUUUUUCUCUCAAGGACAAGCUGUGAUGGGGAGCGAAAUUUAGUAGCGAAGUUCCUGAUGUCACACUGCCAAGAAAAGCUUCUAGUGAGAAAGUAACUGCCCGUACCGCAAACCGACACAGGUAGUUGAGGAGAGAAUCCUAAGGUGUGCGAGAGAACUCUCGUUAAGGAACUCGGCAAAAUGACCCCGUAACUUCGGGAGAAGGGGUGCUGACCGCAAGGUCAGCCGCAGUGAAUAGGCCCAAGCGACUGUUUAUCAAAAACACAGGUCUCUGCAAAAUCGAAAGAUGACGUAUAGGGGCUGACGCCUGCCCGGUGCUGGAAGGUUAAGAGGAGAGGUUAGCGCAAGCGAAGCUUUGAAUUGAAGCCCCAGUAAACGGCGGCCGUAACUAUAACGGUCCUAAGGUAGCGAAAUUCCUUGUCGGGUAAGUUCCGACCCGCACGAAAGGCGUAACGAUUUGGGCACUGUCUCAACGAGAGACUCGGUGAAAUU
rnacentral:rRNA from 1 species